rnacentral:rRNA from 1 species
CGUGAGUGAAGAAGGCCUUCGGGUCGUAAAGCUCUGUCAAGUGGGAAAAAAUGUCCCGGGUCAAUAGCCUGGGAAAUUGAUGGUACCACUGGAGGAAGCACCGGCUAACUCCGUGCCAGCAGCCGCGGUAAUACGGAGGGUGCAAGCGUUGUUCGGAUUUACUGGGCGUAAAGAGCGUGUAGGCGGUUUGAAAAGUCAGAUGUGAAAGCCCUGGGCUUAACCCGGGAAGUGCAUUUGAAACUUUCUUACUUGAGUAUGGGAGAGGAGAGUGGAAUUCCCAGUGUAGAGGUGAAAUUCGUAGAUAUUGGGAGGAACACCCGUGGCGAAGGCGACUCUCUGGACCAAUACUGACGCUGAGACGCGAAAGCGUGGGGAGCAAACAGGAUUAGAUACCCUGGUAGUCCACGCUGUAAACGAUGAGAACUAGGUGUAGCGGGUAUUGACCCCUGCUGUGCCGAAGUUAACGCAU